ACAUUAUCCUCCUGUCCUGGACCCUACCGGAUCACAUUCAAUCCUGGACUAAACAGAUGUAAUUCCUAUUAAAGUAAAACUAAGGAUUCUACAAUCCCGCGCAGAUGGUCUGAGUGAUCAGAAGCUAAUGAAAAUAUUGCUUAUUUGGAUCCUAAACUGCUGAAAGCUGACCAGAUAAUUAAUAUCCAGACUAACACGGCUACCCCUCUGAUAUGUGAUUUAAGUGGACCACAAAAUGGCAGAUCUGGAGAGAAGAAAGGUGAGUAAUAAGG